CCUGCUGCCUUGUAAAGAAGGUGCUUGCUUCUCCUUCACCUUCCACCAUGAUUGUACAAUCUUGAAGAACAAGAAAAAAGUGACAAACUGUUAAAGAAUCUGCUUCACUGAAGGCAAGGAAACUAACAAAACUUUGAUAUGGGUAUAUAUCAGAUAUGGAGACACUUCUAAUGAACUGGAUUGAAGACAAGAGACAGAAACAUAUCUCUCUCAGUCCCAUGAAGUUCAUGGCCAGUGCAAAAGGUUCUAGGAGAAUAACAAAAAGAAGGAAGACUCAGUAGGAAAGGAAAGCAAUGAAGAAGCCAAGAAAGAGACAAGCAACCCUGGAAAGAGAGUCAGCAAAGAGAGAAAUAGAAACAUUAAUUUCAGCUUGCUGGCCUUGGACCCUUCUGCCUGUGUACUAAUUUUACGGCACACUGAACUUCUGCUUCUUUACCAGCUUCUUCUCAAAGGAAGAAAACUGCAGCCCUGACACUUUCAAAAUGAAAAUAAGCAAAUGAACAAACAAAAUACCUCCUCCAGGACGUGGAGGCAAAGCUUUUUUCUUAGAAUUAAAGGCUCACAUUUGUUCACAACGUGAACAAUGCUGUUAUUCUAUCCGUGGGCUAGAAAA